AGAUGUCUGGCUUCGUAGGUGACCUGCGGAGGAUCAUUA
rnacentral:rRNA from 1 species